rnacentral:rRNA from 1 species
UGAGUAACCUGCCCCAGACUCUGGGAUAAGCACUGGAAACGGUGUCUAAUACCGGAUAUGAGCUUCAGCCGCAUGGCUAAGAGUUGGAAAGAAUUUCGGUUUGGGAUGGACUCGCGGCCUAUCAGCUUGUUGGUGAGGUAAUGGCUCACCAAGGCGACGACGGGUAGCCGGCCUGAGAGGGUGACCGGCCACACUGGGACUGAGACACGGCCCAGACUCCUACGGGAGGNAG